UGCCCUAGUAACGGCGAGUGAAGCGGCAACAGCUCAAAUUUGAAAUCUGGCCCUCGGGUCCGAGUUGUAAUUUGUAGAGGAUGCUUUUGGUGCGGUGCCUUCCGAGUUCCCUGGAACGGGACGCCAUAGAGGGUGAGAGCCCCGUCUGGUUGGACACCAAUCCUCUGUAAAGCUCCUUCGACGAGUCGAGUAGUUUGGGAAUGCUGCUCUAAAUGGGAGGUAUAUGUCUUCUAAAGCUAAAUAUUGGCCAGAGACCGAUAGCGCACAAGUAGAGUGAUCGAAAGAUGAAAAGCACUUUGAAAAGAGAGUUAAACAGUACGUGAAAUUGUUGAAAGGGAAGCGCUUAUGACCAGACUUGGGCUUGGUAGAUCAACCUGGGUUCUCCCUGGUGCACUCUUCCUCGUCCAGGCCAGCAUCAGUUCGCUGCGGGGGAUAAAGGCUUCGGGAAUGUGGCUCCCUCGGGAGUGUUAUAGCCCGUUGCGUAAUACCCUGCGGUGGACUGAGGUUCGCGUUCUGCAAGGAUGCUGGCGUAAUGGUCAUCAGCGACCCGUCUUGAAACACGGACCAAGGAGUCGUCUUCGUAUGCGAGUGUUCGGGUGUUAAACCCCUACGCGUAAUGAAAGUGAACGCAGGUGAGAGCUUCGGCGCAUCAUCGACCGAUCCUGAUGUUCUCGGAUGGAUUUGAGUAAGAGCAUACGGGGCCGGACCCGAAAGAAGGUGAACUAUGCCUGUAUAGGGUGAAGCCAGAGGAAACUCUGGUGGAGGCUCGCAGCGGUUCUGACGUGCAAAUCGAUCGUCAAAUAUGGGCAUGGGGGCGAAAGACUAA
rnacentral:rRNA from 1 species